rnacentral:rRNA from 1 species
UACAGAGGGUGCUAGCGUUGUUCGGAAUCAUUGGGCGUAAAGGGCGUGUAGGCGGCCUGAUAAGUAGGGGGUGAAAUCCUGCGGCUUAACCGCAGGGCUGCCCUCUAAACUGUCAGGCUAGAGCACAGUAGAGGCAGGUGGAAUUCCCGGUGUAGCGGUGGAAUGCGUAGAGAUCGGGAAGAACAUCAGUGGCGAAGGCGGCCUGCUGGGCUGUUGCUGACGCUGAGGCGCGACAGCGUGGGGAGCAAACAGG